rnacentral:rRNA from 1 species
GAUGAACGCUGGCGGCGUGCUUAACACAUGCAAGUCGAACGAAGCAUUUAGAACAGAUUACUUCGGUUUGAAGUUCUAUAUGACUGAGUGGCGGACGGGUGAGUAACGCGUGGGUAACCUGCCUUGUACUGGGGGAUAGCAGCUGGAAACGGCUGGUAAUACCGCAUAAGCGCACAAUGUUGCAUGACAUGGUGUGAAAAACUCCGGUGGUAUAAGAUGGACCCGCGUCUGAUUAGCUAGUUGGUGAGAUAACAGCCCACCAAGGCGACGAUCAGUAGCCGACCUGAGAGGGUGACCGGCCACAUUGGGACUGAGACACGGCCCGGACUCCUACGGGAGGCAGCAGUGGGGAAUAUUGCACAAUGGAGGAAACUCUGAUGCAGCGACGCCGCGUGAGUGAAGAAGUAAUUCGUUAUGUAAAGCUCUAUCAGCAGGGAAGAUAGUGACGGUACCUGACUAAGAAGCU